CACAGGAUACAACAGAAGGUCCUAUGGCCUGGUYGGUAGCAGGCCUGGAGAUGAGGUUAGGUUGGGGUACAGUGAGACUGCUUUCACUCAGUCUGAAUUUUCUGUUCUGCUUCAGGGGAAUGAUUAAAGGUGGCUUGGCCUUUCAAGUUUGUUCACCGCCCAGUCCAAUUUCACCCAGGAUUUGCUGAGUCACUGGGUGAGACCUGGGCUCUCUUGUAGGUUGCACAGCUAUAUUCGGAGCCCCUUCAUCCUGCUAGAGCCAUCUUCUUGUUUUAAACCAGACAYACCAGAAGCCUCCCCAUGAAAAAGGAGAAGGUUUGUGCAGACGGAGAGGGACAGGGCUCCCUAACGGAGAGGACCAGGGGAAAGUGCGGCAGAGAACUCAGAACUGGAGAGACAGAGCCAGGUUCCAUCCAGUCCGUCCAACUCACUGUGAGCUGUGUGGGAAGGGAAAGUGAGGACCCAGGGACAGGGCCUGAAGAAGACAUGAAGUCCAGCCGCUUCCUCCCAACACCUGUGUUCACAGAGAUGGGCACAGUGGCCCAGGAGACUGACUGUCUAGAAAAUGGAGGAGUCCUUUCUGUCAGGAAUCUCCCUUCCUCCUGAGCAUCCCAGAGCCUUCCCAAGGGGAAGCAGGCCUGCGUGUGUGAGUGACCACGGACCAGGGUAGCGGAGUCCCCAGCUGGGACAGCCAGGACGCUUCCAGCCUUCCUGUUUGGCGGUGCCCCAUCUGGAUCCAGAUGGACAGUUGUAUGCCAACAGCUAUACACAGAGGCAUGGCCAAAGUUGUGAGCCACUGUAAGUUCCCACCCCCAACCUAACAAAAGGCCAGAGCUUAAUCAUUUCGGUGGAUUUUGGUCCCUAGUUAAUCUCUCAGGAUCCUGGCUCUACUUACUUUUCUAGAUGACUUCAAGGUGUCCUCCCAUGGCUUCCUACACAACUGGAAAGGAGACCUUCUUUCUUGGUCAAUCCUUCACCUCCUUGGGCCCCGGUGAAAACUGUAAAUGUCUUAUCCUGGUACCGGUGUCGUUAAUUUUCUCUGAAUGAGUAUAGACCAGYAGGGUGGACCUUGAGUCUUCGGAUGGACUUACUGACUCCUUCUGUAAUAAGCACAUCUGAUGAGAAGGGCAAUGACUGACUGGAGUCUCUGUGUAGAUGGUCUGCUUUGAUCCUUCACUCCGUCUCCUUCAUCCUGAGGUCUCYAAAUCUCUAAGCGAUGGCACAUGCCUGUMAUCCCAGAACUAGGGAGGCUGAGGCAGGAGGAUUGCAAGUUCAA